CCGGGCUGGGCCGGGAGCCGCAGCCCCCCGCUCCCGAGCCCGCCCCCGGGGGCGGCCCGGCGGCCCUGCAGCCCCGCCAGUGGCCGCGGGAGAUGACGGACAGCGCGGGGCCGGCGGCCUUUCCGCUGCCUCUCGCGGACGUGCUCAGCACCUGGUCCCUACCACAACAGCAACGCCCGCGUAAUACCUGCCAGGCGGUAAGCCGCACGCAAAGAGCAAUUAGCGCAAUUAGGGAGCGGAGCCGGAGCUGCGCUGGGCACCGCUGUGCGGGGCGUCGGGGCCGGGCACGGCGCACAGCGGCCCCCCGCCCCAGAGAGCGGCCGGGUGGAAACAGGACGGUGCCUGGGAGCGCACGCGGCUCUCCCGUCUUUGCUCUGCUGAUCUGGCAGAACUCCCAAAGAGCCAGGUCCUAUAAAGGAAGUAAAACGUGAACGGGAAUAAUACGGUGACGGCAGCGCACGGAAUAUCGGCGAGUGAAAUACGGAUCUGACGUCUCUGGAACGCGAGGCGCACCUUCGGAACACCACGUGUGUAAACGGUGCGCUUCCAAAAGUCAGAUCCAUCACCUCUGCCGAGGGGGUCCCUCCGCACUGACACGCGCACACACCAAUUCAACCGCCCGAAAGCGAUCGCGUCCUUCAUUCGCUGCAGCCAGAGCCCUCCUCGGCGCGCUGACCUGACCCGCCGCGGCUAGUUUUAGGGCAGGAGGCGUUGAAUUAGCGGGACCCGGAUCCAACAUUUAAUUAAAUUGAUUACUUAAUUAAACAAAGGAGAGGAGUGCGUGUUUGUGAGCCCGAGGACCUGCAUUAGCAGCGCGCCCUCUCCGAAGAACGGCCGCCGGGAGCCCCGGCCGCUCCCUCGCCGCUGCCGCCCGGCCCUGGCCCCAUUACCUCCCGCUGCCCCCCUCCCGGCUCCCGGCGGUGUGAAGCCGGGCCGAGCUCCACGCAUCCUCUCGGUUCCAGCCCGGCCCCGCGGCUCCCGCACUCGGUGUCCCCGAGGGUUGCCCCGCUGCUCGGACGUGAGCCCGCGCUGCUCGCUCACUCUGUUUCUCUCCCAUCUGUGUCCAUUGUGUUCACAACUGUGUCCUUUCCUUUCGCCCCCCCUCCCCCCGAGUGUCUUCCAACCUGUCUGUUCCCCUCCUUCCCUCUCCCACCCCUCCACCCCGCCUCUGAUCUCCGGGAUAUUUGGUUUCUUUCCCUUUCUCAAUGUGUGUUCCUGAUGUGGUCCUGUCGGAAAAGCUCGUUUACUCUGCUCGGGUCUCCAGUGGUUUAAGGAUAAUGUUUAUCAGAAGUGAACGUGCUCAACUUGUUUCCAUUCAACUGCUGAGUGUGGGCUGAAAUACCAAAGGUCACAUCUACAGUGAGUCGGUAGAGGGCAGGGGGAGCCGAGAGGAAUAUGAAAACAUUGUAAUAUACAACAGCCUGUUGAUCGCUCGUGACCCGCCUGGCAAAAAGAUUUUUUUUUUUUUUUUUUUUUCAGGUAGGAAAUAAUUGAAGAAUUGAAGGGGAAAAGUGGCACGGAG
rnacentral:lncRNA from 1 species